CAGUUUAGCCGGUGGUCACUCAGGAAGAAUAUAAGUUGGCCUCUGUAGUGAUCAUGUGGAAGUCCUGACCUCUGGAUAUGACAAGCCUGCUCAUGAAAAGAAGUGCUGAAUCAGCAAAUGGAGUGAGGAGCGAGAUGAGAUGGCUGCUGCUGCUGCUGCUGCUGUGACUGGCUAGGUCACUGCCUCCUUUCCUGCUGCAAACGCCGCCUGGCUCCAGGCUUACAGGCCUCAGAAGCAAGUCCCCCACCCCUGCAACUCCCCCAAAGGAAGACACUCAUUCUGAAGACUGUGAAGAAGUGCUAUGCUGAUCUAUGCAACUUCAGAAAAACUCCACUAAUUCUAUGGCUCUCUUGGAAAAAGAACCAAAACAAGACAAAGUUGAAUAGAUAAAUGGUCAAAUGUUCAGAAACAUUUAUGUCGCCAAGAAUAAGGAAUCAUAAGUGGUAUUAAUGCCAUGACCAGGUAAACUGAUUUUAAAGCUUAGUCUUUUAUAAGUUGGUCUCUACAAAUGAUCUGCAAUGUUACACUGAAUUUUUACUAACAACUGGAAAAAUAUUUCAUGUUUUUGCAGCUAACAACUUAGUAAUA